ACUUUUGCUUGCAGCUCAACAUCCUGAUACAAAAGAAUUACUUAAAAACAAACACGAUAGACCAAGGCAUGUACAUGUACCAAUAUUGAAGCAAAUUUCAAAGCUUCAAUAAACACAGGAAUAAUUCUGUAGAAAUUAGAAUGGUAUCAUCAUAUUUAAUUUCAAAAAGAAAAGAGGUGAUUAUUGCAUAUUUCAGAAGAUAUUUCAAUUAAACACACCUAAUUCCUUAAAAAGCGGAAAAAUAAUUCCUUGCUUAUUCAUGUUAAUAACAGAUAGGGCUGUGCAAGGUUCUUGGGGGAACUGAACCGAACCGAAGAACCGCACCGAGCCGAUAAGAACCGUACUGAAUCAUAUUUAUUUUGAUAUUUUGGUUCGG
rnacentral:misc_RNA from 1 species